rnacentral:misc_RNA from 1 species
GAUGAAGAACGUAGCGAAAUGCAAUACGUAAUGUGAAUUGCAAAUUCAGUGAAUCAUCGAGUCUUUGAACGCACAUUGCGCCCCCUGGUAUUCCGGGGGGCAUGCCUGUCCGAGCGUCAUUGCUGCCCUCAAGCACGGCUUGUGUGUUGGGCCCCGUCCUCCGAUUCCGGGGGACGGGCCCGAAAGGCAGCGGCGGCACCGCGUCCGGUCCUCGAGCGUAUGGGGCUUUGUCACCCGCUCUGUAGGCCCGGCCGGCGCUUGCCGAUCAACCCAAAUUUUUAUCCAGGUUGACCUCGGAUCAGGUAGGGAUACCCGCUGAACUUAAGCAUAUCAAUAAGCGGAGGA